GAGAUGGCCGAGAAGACUUGCGCGCAGGCGCGGUCUCGCGUUCUUUUCGCGGUCGGCCGCGUGGCUGGAAGUCAUGGCUGCUCCCGUUGGUGUUGAGCACGGCGAGCAGCCUCAGGCCUUUAGUGAUGAUGAGGCCUUUCUUUGUUUGGCGUCUGCGGAGACGGUGAAAAGCAGAGCUCCAGGUUGAAGGAUGAGAGUAACGGAUGGAGCCCUAACAUGAAUUAAAGAUGUUGGCUGUGGCCUUGAAAACAGUCAUGUGAAAACUCAUCACCUUAAGGUGUUAAGUGUAAGGAUCUUCAUGAUGAAGGUUCUGUAAAUGGUGCAGUCAGCCUCAAUUUCCGAAGCCGGAAAAGGAUCCUCUAGUAGCCACAGUGUGGCAGCUGCUCUGAACCAGGACCUGGACCCGGACCCAAAGUGCCAUGUCUUCAAUGCAUGUUAGCUCCCAGUGAUGCCAGAUGGGAUCAGCACAGCCCUGCCUCUGCUGCUAAUUGUUCCUCUAAAGUAAUCGCCAUGCGUUCUUCGGGCUUCACCUUUAAAGGAAUGAAGCGACUGAGAUUAUUCUGGAAAACCUUUUGGCAGUUAGUGAAAUUAGAGUACAACUAAGAACAUUUUCAGACCUCCACUGUGGAUGACUGGGGUAUAAUCUCACAAAUCGAUGGGACUGCAGGGAUUGUAAACUGAAAUGAACAUGAUUAUACUCUGUUGGAAGAGCCUAAGAGGAAACUGACGCCAUGAGUUUCAGAGAGUAAUGCUUAACCCCAGGUACACAGGAUGCCGUCUUAUGUUUUCUCUUUUUUAGUUACCCACUACAUUGAUUUUGUGAUCUGCUAAUGGGUUGCCACCCACAACCAUUGCUUUAGCACUUUUACUUCAAAUCAAUGAAGGAUUGAUAAAAGUUCUCCUGGUGUCUCCGCAGAGUGGCUUCCAGGAACAGAUCUUUGCAUAGAAUAUCAGUGGUUUCCUUUUUUGUUUCAAAUAGUGGUGAGAAAAUACCCAGUGUUGACUCACCAAGGCAAUCAGCUUCCUUUUUCCCUUUUUUUUUUUACAUUUUAUAUUUUUGCUUUAUUUUAUUUUAUUUUGUUUAUUUUUUGAGACGGAGUUCCACUCUGUCGCCAGGCUGGAGUGAAGUGGUACAAUCUUGGCUCACUGCAGCCUCCACCUCCCAGGUUCAAGCAAUUCUCCUGGCUCAGCCUCCCAAGUGCUGGGACUACAGGCGCGUACCUUCUUUAGUAGAGACUGGGUUUCACCAUGUUGGCCAGGAUGGUCUCUAUCUCCUGACCUCAUGAUCUGCCCGCCUCAGCCCCCCAAAGUGCUGGGAUUACAGGCGUGAGCCAUCACGCCUAGCCUUUUUUUUAAAUUUAUUUUAAUUUAAAUGUAAAUCUUUUUCAUUUUUUGGGGAGUUUUUUUUUUUUUUUUUUUUUUUUUUGAGACAGUCUUGCUCUGUCACCCAGGCUGGGAGUGCAGUGGCAUGAUCUCUGCAACCUCUACCUCCCAGGUUCAAGCAAUUCUUGUGCCUCAGCCUCCCAACUAACUGGGACUACAGGUGCAUGCCACCACACCUGGCUAAUUUUUUAUGUUUUAGUAGAGACAGGAUUUCAACCAUGUUGGCCAGGUUGGUCUCAAACUCCUGAGCUCAGGCAAUCCACCUGCCUUGGCCUCCCAAAGUGAUAGGAUUACAGGUGUGAGCCACCACACCCAGCUAUUUUUUCUUUUGUUUUUUAAUUUUAAACUUGGGGGGGUCUCAAUUUGUUACCCUGGCUGGUCUCGAACUCCCGGACUUAAGCGAUCCUCUGGCUCCAAGCCCACUACCAGUCUCAGGUUUCUUUACUAAAAGAUCACUACCUUUUUUUCUCUUAUCUGCUGCCAUGUGAGACGUGGCUUUCAUUUCACCUUCCGCCAUGAUUGUGAGGCCUUCCCUGCCACGUAGAACUGUAAGUCCAAUAAACCUCUUUUGUAAAUUAAAAAAAAAAAGAUCACUAUAUAAGAUACUAGGAUGGAUUGUGACUGUUGAGGAGUACUUACAUAUCCUACAUUUGACUACAUUCUUUCCAAACCAAGUAUUCUGUCCAAAGGAACAUACUGCUAUCAUGGAGACCAAGGAGGGACUGUUUAAGGUUGCCAAGGUGAAGUGAGCUGAGAGGCUUUGUCCUUGUGCCAGCAACUCUGAAAUCUCUCUUAAUUCCUGCUGUCCAGGCAGCAGAAUGCCAUGGUUUCCCCAAGUAGGUAGCUGCUUUAGCAAUUAAAGCCCAAAUGUCUGUUCUGUUGA